rnacentral:rRNA from 1 species
AGGACGUGAUACCCUGCGAUAAGCUCUGGGGAGCCGGGAAUAGGCUUUGAUCCAGAGAUCUCCGAAUGGGGCAACCCACCUGAUACUCAGUUAUUGUUACUCUUCGGGGUGAUCAAUAAUUGGGUAAACCAGGUAUCUUCAACCUGAACACAUAGGGUUAAAGAAGCAAACCCGGGGAACUGAAACAUCUAAGUACCCGGAGGAAAGGAAAUCAACAGAGACUCCGUUAGUAGUGGCGAGCGAACGCGGACCAGCCGAGCGAUGCGAGUGACAAGAAUGGUCUGGAAAGGCCAACCAUAGGGGGUGACAGUCCCGUAUUGGAAGCUCAACUCGACGUAUCAAGUAGGGCGGGACACGUGAAAUC